UACGGAAGGCAGCAGUGGGGAAUAUUGCACAAUGGGCGAAAGCCUGAUGCAGCUAUGCCGCGUGUAUGAAGAAGGCCUUAGGGUUGUAAAGUACUUUCAUCGGGGAGGAAAAACAAAACUAAUAAUUUUAUUUCUUGACGUUACCCGAAAAAGAAGCACCGGCUAACUCCGUGCCAGCAGCCGCGGUAAUACGGAGGGUGCUAGCGUUAAUCAGAAUUACUGGGCGUAAAGAGCACGUAGGUGGUUUUUUUAAGUCAGAUGUGAAAUCCCUGGGCUUAACCUGGAAACUGCAUUUUGAAACUGAAAUACUAGAGUAUCGUAGAGGGAGGUAGAAUUCUAGGUGUAGCGGUGAAAUGCGUAGAUAUCUGGAGGAAUACCUGUGGCGAAAGCGGCCUCCUAAACGAAUACUGACACUGAGGUGCGAAAGCGUGGGGAGCAAAACAGGGAUUAGAUACC
rnacentral:rRNA from 1 species